ACGGCCGUACCAUGCUAAUAUAUAUACCGAUUCUCGUUCGAUCACCGAAGUCAAAGCAUCAUUGGGCGCGGUCAGUACUUGGGUGGGUGACCACCUGGGGAACACUGCGUGCCGUU